GAAAAAUUAUUCUAAAUAUCCCUUUAAACAGAGAGAAACAGCAAUGGCAAAAAGUCCAGUAUUGUUUCCAUGCUUGAUGGUUUUAUGUCUCGUAAUAUUUGCAACAGGAUUUGUGAAUGGUUGUAACCACCGCUGCCAUGAUGUAACUGCUUGUUUUAAACUGCGCUGUGCUCCUGAUUGCCAAAAGCAAUGCCGCAACCAGUGCUGCGAUUGCUUCUGUCCUGGAAAUGAAAAACCUGAAAUAAAGAUGUAACAAUUCCUUCUAAUAAUUUCAUAUUGUUUACAUAUUAAUAAUAAUAAUAAUAAUAAUAAUAAUAAUAAAUAUUACCUGAAACAUUUUUUGAUACA